UACGGAGGGAGCUAGCGUUGUUCGGAAUUACUGGGCGUAAAGCGCGCGUAGGCGGCUUUGUACGUUAGAGGUGAAAGCCCGGGGCUCAACUCCGGAACUGCCUUUAAGACUGCAUCGCUAGAAUCCGGGAGAGGUGAGUGGAAUUCCGAGUGUAGAGGUGAAAUUCGUAGAUAUUCGGAAGAACACCAGUGGCGAAGGCGGCUCACUGGACCGGUAUUGACGCUGAGGUGCGAAAGCGUGGGGAGCAAACAGG
rnacentral:rRNA from 1 species